CAAUUAGUUGAGGACAUAUUUGUUUUGGGAAAGUGGGAAGCGAUUUUUCUUUGAAAGGUCGCUAGAGAACUAAUUUCUUUAAGUUCAUUUGGCAAUGAUUUCCAGACUUGUGGCCCAUUAAAUGCUAGGCUUUUUUUCAUGCUAUUGCUUCCUGGCUGAGAUAUCAAUGAAUGUACCCUUUCUACCCAUAACUGUCACAAGAAAGCAACCUGUACCAAUAAAUUAGGAUCAUUUUCAUGUAAAUGUAAUAUUGGUUAUUCGGGAAAUGGAAUUCUUUGCAAAGAGAUAAAACCGUGCCAGCCAAAUCCUUGUAAAACAAGGGUAUUUGUAC